rnacentral:rRNA from 1 species
GACGAGGGGUCCUAGCGUUGUUCGGAAUCACUGGGCGUAAAGCGUAUGUAGGCGGGCUUUUAAGUCAGGUGUGAAAUCCCACGGCUCAACCGUGGAAUUGCAUUUGAAACUGGAAGUCUUGAGUGUGGGAGAGAUUGGUAGAAUACCUGGUGUAGUGGUGAAAUACGUAGAUAUCAGGUGGAAUACCGGUGGCGAAGGCGGCCAAUUGGCCCAACACUGACGCUGAGAUACGAAAGCGUGGGGAUCAAAC